UACCAGCACCCCGAGUGGUCGGGACGAUUAUUGGGCCUAAAGCACCCGUAGCCGGUUCUACAAGUCUUCCGUUAAAUCCACCUGCUUAACAGAUGGGCUGCGGAGGAUACUAUGGAGCUAGGAGGCGGGAGAGGCAAGCGGUACUUAGUGGGUAGGGGUAAAAUCCGUUGAUCCAUUGAAGACCACCAGUGGCGAAGGCGGCUUGCCAGAACGCACUCGACGGUGAGGGAUGAAAGCUGGGGGAGCAAACCGG
rnacentral:rRNA from 1 species